rnacentral:lncRNA from 1 species
CUUGGGUCUGCGAACAGGAGGGUGCACAAUCAGUAAGGGCAGCUCCUGGCUUAGGGAGGCCGCCAACUCUGCUUUGGGACCGCCGUGUUUUCAGACCUUGCCUGGUUCAGACGUUUUGUUCCAAAGAGAAACUUCCAUCGAGAAUUUUGAAAUUCGGAGACCUCAGAGUGCAGUCUCACGGCCUCCCCGUGGGCCGUGGACGCCCUGUGCAUGGUGCACCUGAACGAUGCGGUGUGACCCCCGCGGGCCACCUCCCUCAAGGGCUCUCCCUCGCGUGUGUGUUGCGUGGGUUCUCCCCUAAGGAUCCAGCGCGGCGGGCUUUGUGUCUCACCGUGUCAGCCUCUUGGGCCCCAAGUUUCCAGACGGUCGCUGACGUGCUUCUGCUUUUUUUUCUGCUUCAAGGUUUGCUCGAGAGAUACAUUGUCCAAAAAUUCUAGGAAGAAACAACAACGAACCGUUUUCCUGGGCAGAUAUACCCACAAUGAUUAAGUGGAGGACCGAUAAACUAUAAUUUCCUAUUCCUGUUGACCCCGUGCUCAACAACAUCUGUGUCCAGCUGCCCCUGACGU